CCUACGGGUGGCAGCAGUGAGGAAUAUUGGUCAAUGGACGCAAGUCUGAACCAGCCAUGCCGCGUGCAGGAAGACGGCUCUAUGAGUUGUAAACUGCUUUUGUACGAGGGUAAACGCAGAUACGCGUAUCUGUCUGAAAGUAUCGUACGAAUAAGGAUCGGCUAACUCCGUGCCAGCAGCCGCGGUAAUACGGAGGAUUCAAGCGUUAUCCGGAUUUAUUGGGUUGAAAGGGUGCGUAGGGGGUCGGAUAAGUUAGAGGUGAAAUCCCGAGGCUCAACUUCGGAAUUGCCUCUGAUACUGUUCGGCGAGAGAGUAGUUGCGGUAGGCGGAAUGUAUGGUGUAGCGGUGAAAUGCUUAGAGAUCAUACAGAACACCGAUUGCGAAGGCAGCUUACCAAGCUACUUCUGACGUUGAGGCACGAAAGCGUGGGGAGCAAACAGGAUUAGAUACCCCAGUAGUC
rnacentral:rRNA from 1 species